UACAGAGGUGGCAAGCGUUGUUCGGAUUCAUUGGGCGUAAAGGGUGCGUAGGCGGCGCGGUAAGUCGGGUGUGAAAUCUUGGAGCUUAACUCCGAAACUGCAUUCGAUACUGCCGUGCUUGAGGACUGGAGAGGAGACUGGAAUUUACGGUGUAGCGGUGAAAUGCGUAGAUAUCGUAAGGAAGACCAGUGGCGAAGGCGGGUCUCUGGACAGUUCCUGACGCUGAGGCACGAAGGCCAGGGGAGCAAACGGG
rnacentral:rRNA from 1 species